GUUUUCUGAUCAAUAACUAAAGAACCUUAAGGCCUAGGAACUUCAAACUUGGUAUGGUGAUUUGUCAUGACCAGCAGAUUACUCCUAUUGAUUUUGGGAUCAAGGGGUCAAAGGUCAAGGUCACAAUGACCUUGUAAGUAAAAACGGUUUCUGAUCAAUAACUAAAGAACGCUUCGGCCUAGAAACUUCAAACUUGGCAUGGUGAUUGGUCAUGACCAGCAGAUGACCCCUAUUGAUUUUGGGGUAAAGGUCAAGGUCACAUUGACCUUUUAAGUAAAAACGGUUUCUGAUCAAUAACUCAAGAACGCUUCGGCCUAGGAACUUCAAAACUUGGUAUGGUGAUUUGUCAUGACCAGCAGAUUACUCCUAUUGAUUUUGGGAUCAAAGGGGUCAAAGGUCAAGGUCACAAUGACCUUGUAAGUAAAAAAAGGUUUCUGAUCAAUAACUAAAGAACGCUUCGGCCUAGAAACUUCAAAACUUGGCAUGGUGAUUGGUCAUGACCAGCAAAUGACCCCUAUUGAUUUUGGGGUCAAAGGUCAAGGUCACAUUGACCUUGUAUGUUAAAACGGUUUCCGAUCAAUAAUAAGAGAACCCUUAGGCCUAAGAACUUCAAACUUGGCAUGGUGAUUGGUCAUGACCAGCAGAUGACCCCUAUUGAUUUUGGGGUCAAGGGGUCAAAGGUCAAGGUCACAUUGACCUUGUAGGUAAAAACGGUUUCUGAUCAAUUUACUAAAAACGCCUAGGCCUAGGAACUUCAAACUUUGUAUGAUGAUUGGUCGUGACCAGCAGAUGACCCCUAUUGAGUUUUGGGUCAAGGGGUCAAAGGUCAAGGUCAUGACCAGUAGAUACUUUAUAACCCUUAUUAAUUGUUUGAUCACUGGGUCAGACGUCAUGCAUAAUAACCUUAUCACAUGACUAAUUGGCUGCUGAUAGGGGGCAUACAUGUUUUACAAACAUAUCUUGUUUACUGUAACUUCUUUAUUUCUUAAGGGAUCAACCUCAUGCUUCAAAUAUAUGUACCUUAUCAUCAUCCCCAUCUUAUGUGACAAGGUUCAUAACUCUAGCACCAAUAUUUUUAGAUUUAUCUCCCCUUGAACUUAGAAUUUUCCUCAAAAAUACUAUUUUUUACUGUUACUUAUUUAUUUCUUAAGGGAUCAACCUCAUACUUCAAAUAUAUGUAACUUAUCAUCAUCCCCAUCUUAUGUGACAAGGUUCAUAACUAGCACCAAUAUUUUCAGAUUUAUCUCCCCUUGAACUUAGAAUUUUCCUUAAAAAAUAUUAUUUUUUUCUGUCACUUAUUUAUUUCUAAAGGGAUCAACUUCAUACUUCAAAUAUAUGUACCUUAUCAUCAUCCACAUCUUAUGUGACACGGUUCUCCGUCAUCUGUCUGUCCAUCUGUCCGUCCGUCACAAAACUUGUCCGGACUACUCCUCAUAAACUACUGGUGCAAUUUCAUCUAAACUUUACAGGAAUGAUCAGUACCAAGUCUAGUUGUGCAUAUUGUCAGCAUUUUCCUGUUCAAUGAUUUUUGUCAGAGUUUUGGCCCUUUAAUAAUUUUUAGUUUUAAAGUUUGUCCGGCCUACUUCUCUUAUACCACUUAUGCAAUUUCAAUGAAACUUUACAGGAUCUGUAUGUAGCUCAAGUCCUCGCGCAUAUUGCACGGGUUUUCCGGUUGAAUGAUUUUUAGCAGAGUUAUGGCCCUUUGAUAAAAAGGUGUUUUUCUCUGUGUGUUGCCAGAUACACAAAAGCUUGUCUGGACUACUCCUCAUAAACUACUGGUGCAAUUUUAUCCAAACUUUACAGGAAUGAUCAGUAUCAAGUCUAGUUGUGCACUGUCCGUCUGUCUGUCACAAAACUUGUCCAAACAUGAAAUUGGCCAUCAUGAGGCGACACAUGUGAUCACUGAUCGCUCUUGUCUUUAAGAAAUAUUAUAACUUCUUUACUUUUUAAGGUAUCUACUUCAAACUUUAAAUAUAUAUUUCUUAUCAUUACACACAUGUUGUGUGACAAGGUUCAUAACUGUAGCGUGACUAUUUCUAGAAUUAUUCCCCUUGAUCUUGGAAUUUAUGUUAACAAAUGUUAUUUUUAACCAGGUUUUACGAAGGAAAAAACUGGUUAUUAGAUUGAGGUAUGUCGGCAGGCGGAUGGGCGGGCGGACGGGCGGGCGGGCGUUAACAAUUUCUUCUGUGCGCAACUCCUCCAUCAUUUCUCAACGGAUUUUGACCAAACUUUCACAGAAGCUUUGUCAUCAAGUGCCCUGGCGCAUAUUGUCGGGGUUUUGCCAUUGGAUAAUAUUUGACCUAAUUAUGGCCCUUUGUUGUUUUUUCUUAUAUAGAAUAUAUAGUGAACAAUUUCUUCUGUGCGCAAACUCCUCCAUCAUUUCUCAACGGAUUUUGACCAAACUUUCACAGAAGCUUUGUCAUCAAGUGCCCUGGCACAUAUUGUCGGGGUUUUGCGAUUGGAUAAUAUUUGACCUAAUUAUGGCCCUUUGUUGUUUUUUUCUCAUAUAGAAUAUAUAGUGAACAAUUUCUUCUGUGCGCAACUCCUCCAUCAUUUCUCAACGGAUUUUGACCAAACUUUCACAGAAGCUUUGUCAUCAAGUGCCCUGGCACAUAUUGUCGGUGUUUUGCGAUUGGAUAAUAUUUGACCUAAUUAUGGCCCUUUGUUGUUUUUUCUUAUAUAGAAUAUAUAGUGAACAAUUUCUUCUGUGCGCAACUCCUCCUAUAUUUUUCUACGGAUUUUGACCAAACUUUUACAGAAGUUUGUCGUCAAGUGCCCUGGCACAUAUUGUCCGGGUUUUGCCAUUGGAUAAUAUUUGACCUAAUUAUGGCCCUUUGUUUUUUUCCCUUAUAAAGAAUAUAUAGUGAACAAUUUCUUCUGUGCGCAACUCUUCCUACAUUUCUCAACGGAUUUUAACCAAACUUUCACAGAAGCUUUGUUAUCAAGUGCCCUGGCACAUAUUGUCGGGGUUUUGUGAUUGGAUAAUAUUUGAUGUAAUUAUGGCCCUUUGUUUUUUUCCUUAUACAGAAUAUAUAGUGAACAAAUUCUUCUGUGCUGAACUAGUCCUACAUUUCUCAACAGAUUUUGUUCAAACUUUCACAGAAGCUUUGUUAUCAAGUGCCCUGGCGCAUAUUGUCAGGAAUUUUUGUGAUUGGAUAAUAUUUGACCUAAUUAUGCCCCUUUGUUUUUUUUCCUUAUACAGAAUUAUCAAUAUAUAGUGAACAAAUUCUUCUGUGCUGAACUAGUCCUACAUUUCUCAACGGAUUUUGUUCAAACUUUCACAGAAGCUUUGUCAUCAUGUGCCCUGGCGCAUAUUGUAGAGGUUUUGUGAUUGGAUAAUUUUUGACCUAAUUAUGGCCCUUUGUUUUUUUUCCUUAUACAGAAUACAUUUUUUCCUUAUACAGAAUAUACAGUGAACACUUCUUCUGAGGCAAUUCCUCCUACAUUAUUCAUGUUUUACAUUGCACAUAGUUACAUUGUUUAUUGCUUGCAUUUGUAUUACAAAUACAACAUAUUUAUCUACAAUGGAGAUAAUUGAAAACCUGGUUUCGUGGCAUUGCCAUGUUUCUUGUUUUACUAUAACUUAAUACAUAAUUGAUUUUUAGCUCACCUGUCACAAAGUGACAGGGUGAGCUUUUGUGAUCGCUUUUCGUCCGGCGUCCGGCGUCCGUCCGGCGUCCGUCCGUCGUCUGUCGUCCGUAAACUUUUACUUUAAAUGAUAUCUCCUCAUAAACCACUAAGCCAAUUUCAUCAAAACUUCACAGGAAUGUUCCUUUGGUGGUCACCUUUGAAAAUUGUUCAAAGAAUUUAAUUCCAUGCAGAACUCUGGUUGCCAUGGCAACCAAAAGAAAAAACUUAAAAUAUCUUCUUCUAAAAAACCCAAAGAGCUAGAGCUUAGAUUUUUGGCAUGAAACAUCUUCUGGUGAGUGUCUACCAAGUUUGUUCAAAUAAAAGCCCUUGGAUAUUUAGCAUGAAACAUCUUCUAAUGGAUGUCUACCAAGUUUGUUCAAAUAAAAGCCCUGGGGUCAAAAUUGGCCCUGCCCCAGGGGGUCAUUGAUUUUCCCUAUAUACAUAUAGUAAAAACUUAAAAAAUCAUCUUUUAAAGAACCCAAAGAGCUAGAGCUAAGAUAUUUAGCAUGAAACAUGUUCUAAUGGGUGUCUACCAAGUUUGUUCAAAUAAAAGCCCUGGGGUCAAAAUUGGCCCCGCCCCAGGGGGUCAUUGAUUUUCCCUAUAUGCAUAUAGUAAAAACUUAAAAAAUCUUCUUUUAAAGAACCAAAAGAGCUAGAGCUAAGAUAUUUAGCAUGAAACAUCUUCUAAUGGAUGUCUACCAAGUUUGUUCAAAUAAAAGCCCUGGGGUCAAAAUUGGCCCCGCCCCAGGGGGUCAUUGAUUUUCCCUAUAUACAUAUAGUAAAAACUUUAAAAAAUCUUCUUUUAAAGAACCAAAAGAGCUAGAGCUAAGAUAUUUAGCAUGAAACAUCUUCUAAUGGAUGUCUACCAAGAUUGUUCAAAUAAAUGCCCUGAGGUCAAAGUUGGCCCCACCCCAGGGGGUCAUUGAUUUUCCAUUUAUACAUAUAGUAAAAACUUAAAAAAUCUUCUUUUAAAGAACCAAAAGAGUUAGAGCUAAGAUAUUUAGCAUGAAACAUCUUCUUAUGGAUGUCUACCAAGUUUGUUCAAAUAAAAGCCCUGGGGUCAAAAUUGGCCCCGCCCCGGAGGUUAUUCUUUUCCCCUAUAUGUGUAAAACUAUAGCAAAAAUUGAAAAAUCUUCUUUGAAAAAACUCAAAUAGCAAGAGUUUAGAUAUUAAGCAUGAAGCAUCUUCUAGUGAGUGUCUUCAAAGUUUGUUAAAAUAAAAGCCCUGGAGUCAAAAUUGGCCCCACCCCGGGGGACAUUGAUUUUCCUUAUACAAAUAUAGCAAAAACUUUAAAAUCUUCUUUUAAAAAACCCGAAUAGCUAGAGUUUAGAUAUUAAGCAUAAAACAUUUUCUAGUAAGUGUCUACAAAGAUUGUUCAAAUAAAAGCCCUGGGGUCAAAACUGGCCCUGCCCCAGGUGUGUCAUUGUUUUUAACUAUAUGUGUAAAGAAAAAACUUAAAAAAAUCUUCUUUUAAAAAUCCCAACGAGCUUGACCUUAGAUGUUUAGCAUGAAACAUCUUCUAAUGGUUGUCUACAAAGUUUGUUCAAAUAAAAGCCCCGGGCUUUAAACUGGCCUUGCUCCGGGGGCCUAUGUACAGGUGAGCGACUUCAGGGCCAUCAUGGCCCUCUUGUUCUUUCAUAGUUUUGUCCUCCUUACUGCGUCCAGUAUUUUAUUAGUCGAGCUUCGCUGUCUGCUGUGACAGCUCUAGUUUAUGUUUAUAUAGUGUUACCCUGUUCCGUCAUUCCAUCCCUUCAUUCAGUCCUUCCGCCAUUCUGUCAUUUCGUCAUCAUCAGUUUCCGUUCAUUAUCUUAUUAGCAGUUGCACACAUUCAACUCAAACUUGACAUAUGGAUAUAUCAUGAGAAAAAACAGGUCAAGUUUGAAUUUGGUCAUGGUUCGAUGAUUUUUGACAAGAGUUAUGCCCCUUGAUGAAAUUUUCAGUUUCCGUUCAUUAUCUUCCCAACAGUAUUACAUAUUCAACUCAAAUUUGACAUAUGGAUAUGUCAAAGGAAUGCGCAGGUCAAGUUUGAAUUUGGUCAUUGUUCGAUGAUUUUAGGCAGAGUGAUGCCCCUUUCACUUUGAAAAUAAUAUGAAAUUUUCAGUUUCCGUUCAUUAUCUCCCCAACGGUAUUACACAUUCAACUCAACUUUGACAUUCAACUUUGACAUAAUUGGAUACAUCAAAGGAAUGCCCGGUCAAGUUCAAAUUUAUUCAUGGUUCGAUGAUUUUUGGCAGAGUUAUGCCCCUUUCACUUUGAAAAAAAGGAAAUUUUCAGUUUCAGUUCAUUAUCUCCCCUACAGUUGUACAUAUUCAACUCAAAUUUAACAUAUGGAUAUGUCAUAAGAAUACACAGGUCAAGUUCGAAUUUGGUCAUUGUUUGAUGAUAGCUGACAGAGGUAUCCCUCUUGAA